UCUCAGCCCAGAACUUCAGGAUGUCUCUGACAAUGUCUCAAGGUGACGGUAUGACCGCUAUCUCUGUCACCACAAACCCAAGGAGCAAAUGGCCACUUCUGUCAGAUUUUGGGUACCUUGUGCUACAGUCCAGUGUGUUCUGUAGCUCAGAAGCCGAAAAGAAAGCUGACAAAUACUCAGACAACUCUUGGGAUGUACAGAUGAUAGUGGGAGUUAUCAAUAUUGUGUUGGUUAUUCUCCUUGCAAGUUUCGGAAUAUAUAGUGUACUUACGGACUGUUGAGCACCCUUUUGGCUUGGUGGUAUGUUGGAAUCGUGGGUGUUCUUGCUGCUAAGUUUAACAGUCCUUGUCUCCUGGUCAUCACAGUGAUUUUAAACAUUGUUAGUGCUGGUCUGGCAAUCGCCGCUGUUGUGCUGUAUUCAGUGGAUGUGGCAGUGGGCAGCUACCAGUGGUGUGAUCACUAUUACAAUGAUUCAACACCCUCUCCUGAACAGAGAACGGCCACAGAAUUAUGUCUGUACUACAAGCAUCUCAAUCAGAUGAUCCUCUGAGGUUUGGAUAUCAUGAUGAUAGUUCUGGCAGUUCUUCAGCUCUGCGUAACCAUCAGUUUCUGUGUUGUGACUCUGAAAGCUUUGUGCAAGAAGAGUGGGGCUGCAAAGUCUGUGGAGGACCCACAACUUUACAAGCCGCUCCUAGAAGAUGCCGCUGCAAAUCCUGCAUGUUAGAGACACAAUGAGCAUGGAAAAGAAAGCGAUGUAUUGCAACACAAUAAUCAAGUUACAUGUUAAUUCUUUCGGAUAAGUUGCAAUGGCUUUUAAAGAAAUCAAUAGAGCACUUUGGUCACACCCCUUUUCCUUUUAUAUAA